CAGAGUUCAUGCCCUUCGGGGUAGAUCUCCACCCUAUGUAUUUAUACUCUUGUUGCUUUGGUAGGCCGCUGGGCUUCGGCUUGGCCACCGGCUCACGCUGGUGUGUGCCUACCAGAGGCUAUCAAACUCUGAAUGUUAGUGUCGUCUGAGUACUAUAUAAUAGUUA
rnacentral:misc_RNA from 1 species